CGGCGAUACCCGAAUGGGGAAACCCAGUGUGACUCGUCACACUAUCAUUAACUGAAUCCAUAGGUUAAUGAGGCGAACCGGGGGAACUGAAACAUCUAAGUACCCCGAGGAAAAGAAAUCAACCGAGAUUCCCCCAGUAGCGGCGAGCGAACGGGGAGGAGCCCAGAGCCUGAAUCAGCAUGUGUGUUAGUGGAAGCGUCUGGAAAGGCGCGCGAUACAGGGUGACAGCCCCGUACACAAAAGCGCAUGUGCUGUGAGCUCGAUGAGUAGGGCGGGACACGUGGUAUCCUGUCUGAAUAUGGGGGGACCAUCCUCCAAGGCUAAAUACUCCUGACUGACCGAUAGUGAACCAGUACCGUGAGGGAAAGGCGAAAAGAACCCCGGCGAGGGGAGUGAAAAAGAACCUGAAACCGUGUACGUACAAGCAGUGGGAGCACCCUUUGGGUGUGACUGCGUACCUUUUGUAUAAUGGGUCAGCGACUUAUAUUCUGUAGCAAGGUUAACCGAAUAGGGGAGCCGGAGGGAAACCGAGUCUUAAUUGGGCGUUAAGUUGCAGGGUAUAGACCCGAAACCCGGUGAUCUAGCCAUGGGCAGGUUGAAGGUUGGGUAACACUAACUGGAGGACCGAACCGACUAAUGUUGAAAAAUUAGCGGAUGACCUGUGGCUGGGGGUGAAAGGCCAAUCAAACCGGGAGAUAGCUGGUUCUCCCCGAAAGCUAUUUAGGUAGCGCCUCGUGAAUUCAUCUCCGGGGGUAGAGCACUGUUUCGGCUAGGGGGCCAUCCCGGCUUACCAACCCGAUGCAAACUGCGAAUACCGGAGAAUGUUAUCACGGGAGACACACGGCGGGUGCUAACGUCCGUCGUGAAGAGGGAAACAACCCAGACCGCCAGCUAAGGUCCCAAAGUCAUGGUUAAGUGGGAAACGAUGUGGGAAGGCCCAGACAGCCAGGAUGUUGGCUUAGAAGCAGCCAUCAUUUAAAGAAAGCGUAAUAGCUCACUGGUCGAGUCGGCCUGCGCGGAAGAUGUAACGGGGCUAAACCAUGCACCGAAGCUGCGGCAGCGACACUGUGUGUUGUUGGGUA
rnacentral:rRNA from 1 species